GAGUUAACAGAGAAAGUGAGUGCUGAGACAGCUCGGCCAGCGGUUCCAGUGUGUGGACACAAACCCUGGAGGUGGCACGAGGGGAGGUCCAGGACCCAGGCUUUGGUUAGGGGUCAUCCUUGGGUGGAAGGACAGGAAGUGGGAGUGCAGGGAAGAGCACAGGCCUUGGCACCCCCUCUGAGGCCCGGGCCUCGGAGCUGGGGGCUUCCAGUGCUUGCACAGGAAGGAACGUGGUGAGUCUGCUGUUCUAUGUCGCACCCCAGAGCCUUCUCAGAGAUGGACUCUACUCUCCAGGAGCGGCAGAGCAUUUAGUGCCAGUGACAGACAGACAGUAAGGAGGACAGAGCAGCGGACUGAGUGGGGAUCUGGAACGAUUCUAGUCCUGGCCACACAGUCUUGGCCAAUCCUUUGCUGUCUGGUCCUUAGUCCCUGUUUAUAUAAAGAAAGAGCAGGGCAGGUUCUUCUCUACUAGCGCUAACGUUUCAGACUCACCAUGCCUUGGAUGAAAGCUAGUGGGCUCACGCUGGUUGUGAUGGGCUUGAAGUGAUCACAGGCCUCCAGGUUUCUUUCAAUGGAUACUUCGGUUGCCACAUUUCCCUUCUUUGUUUUCACCGUGAAGUCACUGGAGCAGUUUCCGUACACGGUAUCCUGUGGGAGCAGAAGACUGGUACCAGAUGGUCUCAGGCCACGUCUGAAGCCCGUGAUGACCUUGCCAUUAGGGAGCUGGUGGAGGACAAUGGGGACUUCCCUUUGUGUUUCAGGGGUCCUGGUCGUAUCUGCUCCAGUCACGUCAGAAAAGGACACCAGGCAUGCCCCCCCAGGCCCACACCACCUCAGGAAGUUCCAGCCCCAAGCCGCAGCCUGGAAAGCCUCGAGUGGUGACGAGUGGGGGUCCAUUUUGUUUGGAGAAGAGUAAGAACCAAAAAUGAACUCUCAGUCCAUUUCCCUGCUGUCUGUCCUCAUGCAAAUGGACAUCCAAAUCUCAGAUAAACCAAGUGGACACUGCAGACCAGGAGGCCCUCUCAGCCUUGCCCCUGCCCUGUCUUCCCCACACCAAGCCCAG